rnacentral:rRNA from 1 species
GUGAGGAAUAUUGGUCAAUGGGCGAGAGCCUGAACCAGCCAAGUCGCGUGAAGGAAGAAGGAUCUAUGGUUCGUAAACUUCUUUUGCAGGGGAAUAAAGUGCAGGACGUGUCCUGUUUUGUAUGUACCCUGAGAAUAAGGAUCGGCUAACUCCGUGCCAGCAGCCGCGGUAAUACGGAGGAUCCGAGCGUUAUCCGGAUUUAUUGGGUUUAAAGGGUGCGUAGGUGGUUUGAUAAGUCAGUGGUGAAAGUUUGCAGCUUAACUGUAAAAAUGCCGUUGAAACUGUCGGACUUGAGUGUAAAUGAGGUAGGCGGAAUGCGUGGUGUAGCGGUGAAAUGCAUAGAUAUCACGCAGAACUCCGAUUGCGAAGGCAGCUUACUAAGCUACAACUGACACUGAAGCACGAAAGCGUGGGGAUCAAACAGGAUUAGAAACCCCUGUAGUCC